UACGAAGGGUGCGAGCGUUAUUCGGAAUCAUUGGGCGUAAAGGGUGUGUAGACGGUAUCCUAAGUUUGUUGUUAAAUGCUCCAGCCUAACUGGAGACCUGCGAUGAAAACUGGGAUGCUAGAGGGUGGAAGAGAGAAGUGGAAUUCUCGGAGUAGCGGUAAAAUGCGUAGAUCUCGAGAGGAACACCAAUGGCGAAGGCAGCUUCUUGGUCCAUACCUGACGUUGAAACACGAAAGCGUGGGGAGCAAACAGG
rnacentral:rRNA from 1 species